GUGCUUAACACAUGCAAGUCGAACGGAAAGGCCCUUCGGGGUACUCGAGUGGCGAACGGGUGAGUAACACGUGGGUGAUCUGCCCUGCACUCUGGGAUAAGCCUGGGAAACUGGGUCUAAUACCGGAUAGGACCACACACUUCAUGGUGAGUGGUGCAAAGCUUUUGCGGUGUGGGAUGAGCCCGCGGCCUAUCAGCUUGUUGGUGGGGUAAUGGCCCACCAAGGCGACGACGGGUAGCCGGCCUGAGAGGGUGACCGGCCACACUGGGACUGAGAUACGGCCCAGACUCCUACGGGAGGCAGCAGUGGGGAAUAUUGCACAAUGGGCGCAAGCCUGAUGCAGCGACGCCGCGUGAGGGAUGACGGCCUUCGGGUUGUAAACCUCUUUCAGUAGGGACGAAGCGAAAGUGACGGUACCUACAGA
rnacentral:rRNA from 1 species